GGGGAAUCUUCCGCAAUGGACGAAAGUCUGACGGAGCAACGCCGCGUGAGUGAUGACGGCCUUCGGGUUGUAAAGCUCUGUUAAUCGGGACGAAAGGCCUUCUUGCGAAUAGUGAGAAGGAUUGACGGUACCGGAAUAGAAAGCCACGGCUAACUACGUGCCAGCAGCCGCGGUAAUACGUAGGUGGCAAGCGUUGUCCGGAAUUAUUGGGCGUAAAGCGCGCGCAGGCGGAUAGGUCAGUCUGUCUUAAAAGUUCGGGGCUUAACCCCGUGAUGGGAUGGAAACUGCCAAUCUAGAGUAUCGGAGAGGAAAGUGGAAUUCCUAGUGUAGCGGUGAAAUGCGUAGAUAUUAGGAAGAACACCAGUGGCGAAGGCGACUUUCUGGACGAAAACUGACGCUGAGGCGCGAAAGCCAGGGGAGCGAACG
rnacentral:rRNA from 123 species